AACGCGAAGAACCUUACCUGGGCUCGAAAUGUAGAGGACGGUAUCAGAGAUGAUACUUCUCGAAAGAGUCUCUAUAUAGGUGCUGCAUGGCUGUCGUCAGCUCGUGCCGUGAGGUGUUUGGUUAAGUCCAGCAACGAGCGCAACCCUUAUCGUUAGUUGCCAGCGCGUAAUGGCGGGAACUCUAACGAGACUGCCUGGGUUAACCAGGAGGAAGGUGAGGAUGACGUCAAGUCCGCAUGGCCUUUAUGUCCAGGGCUACACACGUGCUACAAUGGUCGGUACAGAAGGCGGCAAAGCCGUAAGGUGGAGCAAAUCCUCAAAACCGAUCUCAGUUCAGAUUGUAGACUGCAACUCGUCUACAUGAAGUUGGAAUUGCUAGUAAUGGCGUGUCAGCAACAGCGCCGUGAAUACGUUCCCGGGCCUUGUACACACCGUGUCGA
rnacentral:rRNA from 1 species